UUCUUGAGCCAUGGAAAUAUUCCCUCUCUCCUGGACACUUCAGCUCAUCAACAAACCCUUGCCAGCGCCUUUUCCUGAGAAGUUUUCAAAUAUCAUAUGAUUUAUAUGAGAUAAAAUACUUCACUACAAUGCCCCACAGCCCCUAAAACCAGAUGGUCCAGGCAGAGUUUACUGCUGAACUUUGUUCCCCUGGAGAUGGGAGCUUCCCUCCCUGGAAGGAGCCCUUCCAAAAGCCGCCUCUGAGUUGCUAAGAAACAGCUUGUCACUGUGGCAUGGGCUGUAAUCAGUUGUGUACAGAGCGUUCAACGCUCCUGGUACAUCUGCAUCAAUUAUGUAUUGUCGGUGUGAUUUUUCUUCCUGUGGAAACUUGGCUUCCAGAGGCUCUUUGUGGUGCUCCAGCCAUGACCUAAACCCUCCUUUGCUGAAUAAUUCCUACCGAGACAACACAGUUUCCCCGCUGUGUUUUCCACG